GAUGAACGCUGGCGGCGUGCCUAAUACAUGCAAGUCGAGCGAACGGACGAGAAGCUUGCUUCUCUGAUGUUAGUGGCGGACGGGUGAGUAACACGUGGAUAACCUACCUAUAAGACUGGGAUAACGUCGGGAAACCGGAGCUAAUACCGGAUGAUAUUUUGAACCGCAUGGUUCAAAAGUGAAAGACGGUCUUGCUGUCACUUAUAGAUGGAUCCGCGCUGCAUUAGCUAGUUGGUAAGGUAACGGCUUACCAAGGCAACGAUGCAUAGCCGACCUGAGAGGGUGAUCGGCCACACUGGAACUGAGACACGGUCCAGACUCCUACGGGAGGCAGCAGUAGGGAAUCUUCCGCAAUGGGCGAAAGCCUGACGGAGCAACGCCGCGUGAGUGAUGAAGGUCUUCGGAUCGUAAAACUCUGUUAUUAGGGAAGAACAUAUGUGUAAGUAACUGUGCACAUCUUGACGGUACCUAAUCAGAAAGCCACGGCUAACUACGUG
rnacentral:rRNA from 1 species